AUCUUUUGCAAUUUGUUCAAUUAAUAUUGGAGAAGUCAAAGUAGAAUGAUGGAGUUGAGAAGCUUUAGCCUUUAGCCACAAAAACACACGGUGAUUCCUUGUUUAAAAUUCCCGGAGGUGAAACUUUACUAUGAUCACAGCGAACAUGGAUCCCGACGGAAUGUCAACCAGCAGGUUUCGGUGAGAAAAUUGUGGUAAAAAGUCGCUUCUUACCGGAGAUCAGCUGAGCUUGUGCCGCCCAUAAAGCUGCUGUCGACUUUCCUGAGACACUGCGCGUCAAGACACCCGUGGACAAACCCCUCCGACUAUCAGGUCCCUACGCUCCGUCCCGCAUUUUCCAGCACACCUUCAACACAUCCACAGCUGAAUACGGCCUCGGCUGCAGCUUGGGGAGAUGCUCUACAUAAAAAAGACACACUGCUAGUGCUGCAUUUAAUGAAAAAACAGGCAGUUGGAAUCCCAAGUGUCCAGAUGUGAAGCCAGUGGGAAGCAGAUUGUUUAUGCAAACCUUAUUGCAAAGUCAGCCAUGAAGGUGCCCUCUUUUUUGGGUAAUAAGCAGCGGCGGAUAUGGCUUGUUACAGUAGCAACUGCUGCACCGCCGAUGACUUAACGUGUGCAAGAAAUGACUUCACUUACUUGAAACUUGUUAUGUGAAUAAUAAAUGAACCUGGAAGAGUAAUAAUAGUGAGGCAGCCCAGGUAUC